UACGUAGGGGGCAAGCGUUGUCCGGAUUUAUUGGGCGUAAAGAGCGUGUAGGCGGCCAAGCAGGUCCGCUGUGAAAACUCGAGGCUCAACCUCGAGACGUCGGUGGAAACCGUUUGGCUAGAGUCCGGAAGAGGAGAGUGGAAUUCCCGGUGUAGCGGUGAAAUGCGCAGAUAUCGGGAAGAACACCCGUGGCGAAGGCGGCUCUCUGGGACGGUACUGACGCUGAGACGCGAAAAGCGUGGGGGAGCGAACAGGA
rnacentral:rRNA from 1 species